CGCUGGAUGAAGUAUGGCAGUCAAAUAUAUUACAAGAUUUAUAUGAAUUUUUCGAUAAAGGCAAAUUCAAGAAGCUACAAAACGGAAUUAAUUUCGUAACAUUAAUUACACCUUUCAAUAUGAACCAAUCAUAUCACGAGGCUGGCUGGGACUCUUACUGCUCAGGGUUCUGUUUCAU